AGGACGGACAGAUGUUUGUAGUUUAAUUAUUUCCUUUUUUUUUUACAAAUAUUUUUGGGAAAAUGUUUCCAGAAUUAAAAAUGAAAGUCCAUACCUUAUGGAACUUUAUAACUGCUUAUCCAUUACCCUUAAAUCUUUAAACCCCUAAAUAGACACUAUAUUGACAAUGCUAUAUCACAAUUAACUUAUGAGAUAGGAACAUAACU